CUACUUUCUAUGAUGUAAUCUGAGAAGUUGAGCUCCGAGAGAGGGUCCGAUUGGCCAAAUCGAUAAUUCCCUCCCAGGGACUCCACCCUUCCUCCUCCCUCCUCCCUUACCCAAGGGCUAUAAAAGAGCUGAGCCAGAGACCUGGAUGCUUUCUACACCUGGAUCUGCUGGCGAAGCUUUGAAGAUGAGCGUUGCAGCAGAGAGCUAGCUGACCUUCAGUUAACAGAAGCAAGGGAGACCGCAGUGCCCACCAGACCAUGCACCACAAAAACCAUGGGACAAGGACCAAUGCUAAAGAUCACACCAAGGGAGACGUGAGCAGCACCUGCAUCCAGGAAUGGACAUGAUGACUGAAUUAAGAUCCCAUUUAGAUAAAUCACAAUUUCAAAAUAGAACCUUAUACCUCUCUUUUCAUCAUUGACUGGCUUUGUGACCCUGAGUAAGUAUUGGUUCUUUCCUCUCUCUAAGUAUCAAUUUUCUACUCUAUGAAAUGAGAGCUAGACUCAAUGAUUUCUAAGGGCCCUUCUAACUCUCACAUUCUGCAAUGCUAUUAAUGGU
rnacentral:lncRNA from 1 species